UGACGAGUGGCGGACGGGUGAGUAAUGCUUGGGAACUUGCCUUUGCGAGGGGGAUAACAGUUGGAAACGACUGCUAAUACCGCAUAAUGUCUUCGGACCAAACGGGGCUUCGGCUCCGGCGCAAAGAGAGGCCCAAGUGAGAUUAGCUAGUUGGUAAGGUAACGGCUUACCAAGGCGACGAUCUCUAGCUGUUCUGAGAGGAAGAUCAGCCACACUGGGACUGAGACACGGCCCAGACUCCUACGGGAGGCAGCAGUGGGGAAUAUUGCACAAUGGGGGAAACCCUGAUGCAGCCAUGCCGCGUGUGUGAAGAAGGCCUUCGGGUUGUAAAGCACUUUCAGUUGUGAGGAAAAGUUAGUAGUUAAUACCUGCUAGCCGUGACGUUAACAACAGAAGAAGCACCGGCUAACUCCGUGCCAGCAGCCGCGGUAAUACGGAGGGUGCGAGCGUUAAUCGGAAUUACUGGGCGUAAAGCGCACGCAGGCGGUUUGUUAAGCUAGAUGUGAAAGCCCCGGGCUCAACCUGGGAUGGUCAUUUAGAACUGGCAGACUAGAGUCUUGGAGAGGGGAGUGGAAUUCCAGGUGUAGCGGUGAAAUGCGUAGAUAUCUGGAGGAACAUCAGUGGCGAAGGCGACUCCCUGGCCAAAGACUGACGCUCAUGUGCGAAAGUGUGGGUAGCGAACAGGAUUAGAUACCCUGGUAGUCCACACCGUAAACGCUGUCUACUAGCUGUGUGUGUCUUUAAGACGUGCGUAGCGAAGCUAACGCGCUAAGUAGACCGCCUGGGGAGUACGGCCGCAAGGUUAAAACUCAAAU
rnacentral:rRNA from 1 species